rnacentral:rRNA from 1 species
UGAGUAACGCGUGGGUAACCUGCCUCAUACAGGGGGAUAACAGUUAGAAAUGACUGCUAAUACCGCAUAAGCGCACAGUGCUGCAUGGCACAGUGUGAAAAACUCCGGUGGUAUAAGAUGGACCCGCGUUGGAUUAGCUUGUUGGCAGGGUAACGGCCUACCAAGGCGACGAUCCAUAGCCGGCCUGAGAGGGUGAACGGCCACAUUGGGACUGAGACACGGCCCAGACUCCUACGGGAGGCAGCAUG